GCCUUAGGAAAUUAAUUUAAGGUUAAACCUGCCCAAUGUUAUAUGUAUAUGAAUGGCCGCGGUACUUUGACCGUGCUAAGGUAGCGCAAUCAAUUGGCUUUUAAUUGAAGCCAUGUAUGAAUGGAAUCACGGGGUUUAGCUGUCUCUUAGCUAAUUUAUCGAAAUUACUAUUUAGGUGAAAAAGCCUAAAAGAAGAAAAAAGACGAGAAGACCCUUAGAGUUUUUCUAAAAUUAGGAUUUUCCUAUAGCAGUUUAGUUGGGGCAACAUAGGAGCAAAAAUGAAUUUUAACCUCCUGUAAAACACUUACCGAUAUUAAUAAAUGUGAAUAAACUACCUUAGGGAUAACAGCAUAAUUUUAUAAAUAAGUUUGUGACCUCGAUGUUGGACUAGGAAACUAAGAGGCUAGCCGCCUUUUAGGAAAGUUCUGUUCGAACUAUUAUUCCU
rnacentral:rRNA from 1 species